AGUUUGAAUUMUGGCUCAGAUUGAACGCUGGCGGCAUGCUUUACACAUGCAAGUCGAACGGCAGCACGGAAGAGCUUGCUCUUUUGGUGGCGAGUGGCGAACGGGUGAGUAACGCAUCGGAACGUACCGAGUAGUGGGGGAUAACUGUCCGAAAGGAUGGCUAAUACCGCAUAUUCUCUGAGGAGGAAAGCAGGGGACCUUCGGGCCUUGCGCUAUUUGAGCGGCCGAUGUCUGAUUAGCUAGUUGGUGGGGUAAAGGCCUACCAAGGCGACGAUCAGUAGCGGGUCUGAGAGGAUGAUCCGCCACACUGGGACUGAGACACGGCCCAGACUCCUACGGGAGGCAGCAGUGGGGAAUUUUGGACAAUGGGGGGAACCCUGAUCCAGCCAUGCCGCGUGUCUGAAGAAGGCCUUCGGGUUGKAAAGGACUUUUGUCAGGGAAGAAAAGCUUGAGGUUAAUACCCUUGAGUGAUG
rnacentral:rRNA from 1 species